UUCUCUGAUGAAGAUCCAAAUUGUACUUUGGUUCUUCUGAAAUUCUCAAUGUGGCAGAACUGGAGACAUGCAUUGAGUAGAC